GGUUGUUAGUUCCUUAGCUGGGAGGAUUGUGGGUACUGCAGUCCAGAAAGGUCAACAAACUCUCUCGGCCUAUUGGGCCACCGUAGUGCGUGCUGCGUGGUGACGCAAAGGUGACGCAGCAGCGUGCGGCGCUCCGGCUCCCCUUGAGGGGAGGGGCCGAAGAAGGAGGAGGAGGAGGAGGAAGAGCUAAGAUGGCGGAGGCCUCCCCGCAGCCAGGACGCUACUUUUGCCACUGCUGCUCGGCCGAGAUCGCCCCGAGGUUGCCGGAUUACAUUUGCCCAAGGUGCGAAUCUGGUUUCAUUGAAGAGCUGCCAGAAGAGCCUAGAAAUGUCGAAAAUGGGUCCAACUCUUCAGCAUCAACUAGUGAUCAGAACAAGACAUCCAUUUGAGGUAGG